CUAAAACGACUCUCGGCAACGGAUAUCUCGGCUCUUGCAUCGAUGAAGAACGUAGCGAAAUGCGAUACUUGGUGUGAAUUGCAGAAUCCCGUGAACCAUCGAGUCUUUGAACGCAAGUUGCGCCCCAAGCCUUCUGGCCGAGGGCACGUCUGCCUGGGUGUCACA
rnacentral:rRNA from 1 species